UGCUUCCGUCCCUCUGCAGGUCCAGUGCCACGGGAACUGGCAAUUGCAUUUAGCACUCGUUUGUCCUCUCUGCGUGCUAAGUGAUUGGUGACACAUGGAGGCACUGAUUGUUUCCUAAGGGCUCUUUUACGAGAUCUCCAAUAAAGUUCUAAGCGGAUCAUGCCUGUUUGGGGAAAGAUAACACCAGUGUGAGGCCCAGGAGUUUCUCAGAAGAAAUUCUAGCUGGAUGAGCAUUUAAGGAAGGAGAUGAAGUCAGCGUUUGGAGACAAUGAAUUAGAUGGCUGGAUAUGUCACCGCAAUCAUGAAUAAUAAAUGAGCAGGAAGAGGCUAUAAUUCACAGAGUGGGAGAGGAGACUAGAAACUUGUAGUGCCUGGGGAAAGAGCAUCUGAGACAUGCCUUGGACUUGUGAAAAGAAACCUUCUUGAAGAAAUGCUUUUCCGCAAAAAUGCCUGUUAUCGGGAAGAGUGUCCAUGUUUCCGAGAGACAAAGGAUUUAUGGCUGUAACAGAAACUCUCUCCGUGCAACUCCACCCUCCUCUGUCCCUCCCUUUGCACCCUGCAAGAUCUUGCCAGCCAUAAUUAGGGCUGUUUUGGGGACAGGCCAUUGCCCCCCCUUCUCAAAGGGAGGUAGAAGGCAGGACUUGACUCCAGAGGUGGGGCUUGGACACUGGACCAAACUGAGGACUAGUUAAAACAGGGCCGGGGGCCGGGUGCCGUGGCUCACGCCUGUAAUCCCAUUGCUUUGGGAGGCCAAGGCGGGUGCAUCACCAGAGGUCAGGAGUUUGAGACCAGCCUGGCCAACAUGAUGAAACCCCGUCUCUACUAAAAAUACAAAAAUUAGCUGGGCAUGGUGGCGUGUGCCUGUAAUCCCAGCUACUUGGGAGGCUGAGGUGGAAAAAUCGCUUGAACCCGGGAGGCAGAGGUUGCAGUGAGCUGAGAUCUCACCCCUGCACUCCAGCCUGGGUGACAGAGUGAGACUCUGUCUCAAACAAACAAACAAAAACAAAAAACAAACAAAAAACCAAAACAAAAAACAGGGACAGGGUAGAAGCAGCUUUCCAUAAGACACACCCCCCAGUGCAUCAUGUCAGUUUACCACUGCCAUGGUAACACCUGGGCGUUUCUGCCCCUUUCCAUGGCAAUGACUCGACGACCCAAAAGUUACUACCCCUUCUCUAGAAACUUCUGCAUAGGCCGGCGCAGUACACACCUGUAAUCCCAGCACUUUGGGAGGUCAAAGCAGGUGGAUCACCUGAGGUCAGAAUUUUGAGACCAGCCUGGCCAACAUGGUGAAACCCCGUCUCUACAAAAAAUACAAAAAUUAGCUGGAUGUGGUGGCACAAGCCUGUAGUCCCAGCUACUCAGAAGGCUGAGGUGGGAGGAUUGCUUGAACCCAGCAGGCGGAGGUUGCAGUGAGCUGAGAUUGUGCCAACUGCACUCCAGCCUGGGCAACAGAGUGAGACCCUGUCUCAAAAACAAAACAAAAAAAAAAAUUUUCUCAUAGGCCACUUCCUUAAUCUAUAUGUAAUUAAAAGUAGGUGUGAAUGUGGCUGCAAAGCUGCCUUGAGCUACUGUUCUCUGCCUAUGGGACAGUGCUGCUCCCAGGAGCAGUCAUGGAGCUGUAACCCUGCAGCCUCAGUAAAGCUGUUUUCUUCUACCCUACCACUGGCUUGCCCCUGAAUUCUCCUUUUUUUUAAAAGUACAAUUUCCAUUUUAUUUUUCUCCAGAUAAUAGUCUGUCUUCAGUCUUGAAGGACUCAGCUCCUUAUAUGGGCUUUGGUGGGGGUCAUGGGGCAGCACCCCCAGG
rnacentral:lncRNA from 10 species